GACGAACGCUGGCGGCGUGCUUAACACAUGCAAGUCGAACGGAAAGGCCCUGCUUUUGUGGGGUGCUCGAGUGGCGAACGGGUGAGUAACACGUGGGUAACCUGCCCUUGACUUUGGGAUAACUUCAGGAAACUGGGGCUAAUACCGGAUAGGAGCUCCUGCUGCAUGGUGGGGGUUGGAAAGUUUCGGCGGUUGGGGAUGGACUCGCGGCUUAUCAGCUUGUUGGUGGGGUAGUGGCUUACCAAGGCUUUGACGGGUAGCCGGCCUGAGAGGGUGACCGGCCACAUUGGGACGGAGAUACGGCCCAGACUCCUACGGGAGGCAGCAGUGGGGAAUAUUGCACAAUGGGCGGAAGCCUGAUGCAGCAACGCCGCGUGCGGGAUGACGGCCUUCGGGUUGUAAACCGCUUUCGCCUGUGACGAAGCGUGAGUGACGGUAAUGGGGAAAGAAGCACCGGCUAACUACGU
rnacentral:rRNA from 1 species